UUCGCCCUUAGAGUUUGAUCCUGGCUCAGGACGAACGCUGGCGGCGCGCCUAACACAUGCAAGUCGAACGGAGUCAAGAGGAGCUUGCUUUUCUUGACUUAGUGGCGAACGGGUGAGUAACGCGUGAGUAACCUGCCCUGGAGUGGGGGACAACAGUUGGAAACGACUGCGAAUACCGCAUAAGCCCACGGAUCCGCAUGGAUCUGCGGGAAAAGGAUUUAUUCGCUUCAGGAUGGACUCGCGUCCAAUUAGCUAGUUGGUGAGGUAACGGCCCACCUAGUCUUCGAUGGAUAGGGGUUCUGAGAGGAAGGUCCCCCACAUUGGAACUGAGACACGGUCCAAACUCCUACGGGAGGCAGCAGUGGGGAAUAUUGCACAAUGGGGGAAACCCUGAUGCAGCGACGCCGCGUGGAGGAAGAAGGUUUUCGGAUUGUAAACUCCUGUCGUUAGGGACGAUAAUGACGGUACCUAACAAGAAAGCACCGGCUAACUACGUGCCAGCAGCCGCGGUAAAACGUAGGGUGCAAGCGUUGUCCGGAAUUACUGGGUGUAAAGGGAGCGCAGGCGGGAAGACAAGUUGGAAGUGAAAACCAUGGGCUCAACCCAUGAAUUGCUUUCAAAACUGUUUUUCUUGAGUAGUGCAGAGGUAGAUGGAAUUCCCGGUGUAGCGGUGGAAUGCGUAGAUAUCGGGAGGAACACCAGUGGCGAAGGCGGUCUACUGGGCACCAACUGACGCUGAGGCUCGAAAGCAUGGGUAGCAAACAGGAUUAGAUACCCUGGUAGUCCAUGCCGUAAACGAUGAUUACUAGGUGUUGGGGGAUUGACCCCCUCAGUGCCGCAGUUAACACAAUAAGUAAUCCACCUGGGGAGUACGACCGCAAGGUUGAAACUCAAAGGAAUUGACGGGGGCCCGCACAAGCAGUGGAGUAUGUGGUUUAAUUCGAAGCAACGCGAAGAACCUUACCAGGUCUUGACAUCCGAUGCAUAGCACAGAGAUGUGUGAAGUCCUUCGGGACAUCGAGACAGGUGGUGCAUGGUUGUCGUCAGCUCGUGUCGUGAGAUGUUGGGUUAAGUCCCGCAACGAGCGCAACCCUUAUUGCCAGUUACUACGUUAAGAGGACUCUGGCGAGACUGCCGUUGACAAAACGGAGGAAGGUGGGGAUGACGUCAAAUCAUCAUGCCCUUUAUGACCUGGGCUACACACGUACUACAAUGGCGUUAAACAAAGAGAAGCAAGACCGCGAGGUGGAGCAAAGCUCAAAAACAACGUCUCAGUUCAGAUUGCAGGCUGCAACUCGCCUGCAUGAAGUCGGAAUUGCUAGUAAUCGCGGAUCAGCAUGCCGCGGUGAAUACGUUCCCGGGUCUUGCACACACCGCCCGUCA
rnacentral:rRNA from 1 species